AUUGAACGCUGGCGGCAGGCCUAACACAUGCAAGUCGAGCGGAGCGGCGGACGGGUGAGUAAUGCCUAGGAAUCUGCCUGGUAGUGGGGGAUAACGUCCGGAAACGGGCGCUAAUACCGCAUACUAUCAGAUGAGCCUAGGUCGGCUUAGCUAGUUGGUGGGGUAAAGGCCUACCAAGGCGACGAUCCGUAACUGGUCUGAGGGGAUGAUCAGUCACACUUGAAUUGAGCCCCGGUCCAGACUCCUACGGGAGGCAGCAGUGGGGAAUUUUGCACAAUGGUCGCAAGCCUGAUGCAGCCAUGCCGCUUGUAUGAAGAAGGCCUUCGGGUUGUAAAGUACUUUCAGUCGGGAGGCGUUACCGACAGAAGAAGCACCGGCUAACUCCGUGCCAGCAGCCGCGGUAAAC
rnacentral:rRNA from 1 species